CCUACGGGUGGCAGCAGUCGAGAAUCAUUCACAAUGGGGGAAACCCUGAUGGUGCGACGCCGCGUGGGGGAAUGAAGGUCUUCGGAUUGUAAACCCCUGUCAUGUGGGAGCAAAUUAAAAAGAUAGUACCACAAGAGGAAGAGACGGCUAACUCUGUGCCAGCAGCCGCGGUAAUACAGAGGUCUCAAGCGUUGUUCGGAAUCACUGGGCGUAAAGCGUGCGUAGGCUGUUUCGUAAGUCGUGUGUGAAAGGCGGGGGCUCAACCCGCGGGCGGCACAUGAUACUGCGAGACUAGAGUAAUGGAGGGGGAACCGGAAUGCUCGGUGUAGCAGUGAAAUGCGUAGAUAUCGAGAGGAACACUCGUGGCGAAGGCGGGUUCCUGGACAUUAACUGACGCUGAGGCACGAAGGCCAGGGGAGCGAAAGGGAUUAGAUACCCUUGUAGUC
rnacentral:rRNA from 1 species